GGAAUAUUGGACAAUGGGCGAAAGCCUGAUCCAGCAAUGCCGCGUGUGUGAAGAAGGCCUGCGGGUUGUAAAGCACUUUCAGUAGAGAAGAAAAGCCUACGGUUAAUACCCGUGAGUCUUGACGUGACCUACAGAAGAAGCACCGGCUAACGCCGUGCCAGCAGCCGCGGUAAUACGGAGGGUGCAAGCGUUAAUCGGAAUUACUGGGCGUAAAGCGCGCGUAGGCGGUUUGGUAAGCCGGUUGUGAAAGCCCCGGGCUCAACCUGGGAACGGCAUCCGGAACUGUUUAGCUAGAGUGCAGGAGAGGAAGGUAGAAUUCCCGGUGUAGCGGUGAAAUGCGUAGAGAUCGGGAGGAAUACCAGUGGCGAAGGCGGCCUUCUGGACUGACACUGACGCUGAGGUGCGAAAGCGUGGGUAGCA
rnacentral:rRNA from 1 species